rnacentral:rRNA from 1 species
CGGAUGAGCCUAUGUCGGAUUAGCUUGUUGGUGAGGUAAUGGCUCACCAAGGCGACGAUCCGUAGCUGGUGUGAGAGGAUGAUCAGCCACAUCGGGACUGAGACACGGCCCGAACUCCUACGGGAGGCAGCAGUGGGGAAUAUUGGACAAUGGGCGAAAGCCUGAUCCAGCCAUGCCGCGUGUGUGAAGAAGGCUUUCGGGUUGUAAAGCACUUUCAGUGAGGAAGAAUGCCGUCGGGUUAAUACCCCGGCGGAAAGACAUCACUCACAGAAGAAGCACCGGCUAACUCCGUGCCAGCAGCCGCGGUAAUACGGAGGGUGCAAGCGUUAAUCGGAAUUACUGGGCGUAAAGCGCGCGUAGGUGGCUUGAUCAGCCGGUUGUGAAAGCCCCGGGCUCAACCUGGGAACAGCAUCCGGAACUGUCAGGCUAGAGUGCAGGAGAGGAAGGUAGAAUUCCCGGUGUAGCGGUGAAAUGCGUAGAGAUCGGGAGGAAUACCAGUGGCGAAGGCGGCCUUCUGGACUGACACUGACGCUGAGGUGCGAAAGCGUGGGUAGCAAACAGGAUUAGAUACCCUGGUAGUCCACGCCGUAAACGAUGUCGACCAGCCGUUGGGU